rnacentral:tRNA from 1 species
GGUGGCUCAGUGACAGAGUGUGUGCCUUGCAUGCAUGAGGUCAUAGGUUCGAUUCCUAAGCCA